rnacentral:rRNA from 1 species
GGAGUUUGGGCCGUGUCUCAGUCCCAAUGUGGCCGAUCACUCUCUCAAGUCGGCUACUGAUCGUUGCCUUGGUGGGCCGUUACCUCACCAACUAGCUAAUCAGACGCGGGUCCAUCUUAUACCACCGGAGUUUUUCACACCUGUAUCAUGCGAUACUGUGCGCUUAUGCGGUAUUAGCAGUCAUUUCUAACUGUUAUCCCCCUGUAUAAGGCAGGUUACCCACGCGUUACUCACCCGUCCGCCACUCAGUCACCUCAAAUGAAUCAAUCACUAGCAAGCUAGAUCAAUCUUCGGGAGAGGUGCUUCGUUCGACUUGCAUGUAUUAAGCACGCCGCCAGCGUUCAUC